GUCGGGGCACGGCGGCUCCGGCCGCUCCGUCGGGGAAACAGCGGAGCGCCAGGCUGCCUGGUGCAAAAUACAGUCUUCUAUAUGUCACUAAUCCAGUUGGCACCUUGAUCUCUUAAAUACAUUUAUCCUCCCUGUAGCUAUCACUUCCCUUUACAACAUCACUUUUCCCCUCUGUUUCACAUGUGAAAGUUGAAUUUCUUUCUGAAGAAAGCUCUACCAACAUUUCUCUGAAAGGAUGAAUUGGACACCAGCCAAUAGCUCAUUUAAGGCAUGAGACAAAAAAGGUAUCCAGCCCAGUCACAAAUCUCUGCAUAAAUAAUGCCCAGCUAAAGGACUUCUUCAAGCAAAGCCCCAGCAACUACUGGAGAGCCUGGCCCUCUCCUUCCUUCGUCUCUUGACUUGUGCAUUUCUCCAGUAGAUGGUGGAAGAGAUGGGAGAUGACAGGAAGAGUAAGACACAGCAUGGAGUACAGCAUAAGUAUUUUUCUUGUGUUAAGGACUUCGUCAAAACUGCUUUUUGCCCAACAGAAUUAUCAAGAUAAAGGCAUGACUAGAAUAUCAGUGUUAAAGGGCAUGUUAAUGUUAAUGUUAAUGUUUGAUGGACAAAAAGUGAAGAAGAGAGUUUUAUUAAAAUCAAAGUUACGUAAACUUUUAUGGUUCAAAAUUUGUUGGGAGACAAUUUGAAAACUGACUGGCUGCUCCACUGCUGUGAUUCAUGAUAAAAAUUAAAUCAAGAAGAUUUGCUUAUUGUGGGAAGUAGUCAGAAUCAUUUAAAGCAGACAAUUUGUGGGAUAAGGAAGAUUUUAACUGCACAGACUUCAACAAGAAGGCAAGAACAGUAAAACUGCUUCAAGACCUAAGUGUCUCUAGUAAGAAAGAAAAUGUGGAAUGCAAUGAGUGAAAAUGAGUAUGAAAUAACAAAACCCACAACCUUUAAUAAGGGGAGAGAAGCAUAAGAAAAUAAAAUACAAUGUAUUUCAAGGAAGGACAGUGCAUUAAAUCAUAAAAUUAUUAGAAAAUUACCUGUGGUAAAUAACUUCUAUAGUUCAUUGCAGUACACAAGAACAAGCUCAGUUCCUGUAGAUGCAGCUCAACUACUCCGAUGAGAGUCCCCAUUCACCUGCCCAGGAAAAGCCAGUCAGUCAUCAGUGUUCAGUGAUCCAGGUCUACUUCUCAGAAACAA